UACGUAGGGGGCUAGCGUUGUCCGGAUUUAUUGGGCGUAAAGAGCGUGUAGGCGGCCAGGUAGGUCUGCUGUGAAAACUCGAGGCUCAACCUCGAGACGUCGGCGGAAACCAUCUGGCUAGAGUCCGGAAGAGGAGAGUGGGAAUUCCUGGUGUGAGCGGUGAAAUGCGCAGGUAGUCAGGAGGAACGACCCGUGGCCGGAAGGCGGCUCUCGUGGGACGGUUACUGGACGCUGAGACGCGAAAGCGUGGGGAGCAA
rnacentral:rRNA from 1 species